GUGGCUAAAUGGGUAAAGCCCACACCUUCCAUGUGUGAAGCUCUGGGUUCAAUUCCUAUGC
rnacentral:tRNA from 1 species